GGUCGUAUCGUACCGGUCGUCGCAUUGUGUGUUGCUUCGUCGACAUAGCAAUAAAAAUGAAAAAAACAUUUUAUAAUUAAAAUUAGAAUUUUAUAAACUUUAGUUCGCACACAACGUGUUGCAUAUGUGUUAUUAUUGUUUUUCAUUGAUUUGUACAUAAAGAAAUUUGUGAAAAAUGAAUAGAAUUAAGCAAUGUUCGCGAUAUAAAAACUUUUAACCGAGCGAAUCGUAAACAAAAACUAAUUAAAUGGUCGAUUGAUUACCAACAAAAAGUAAAAAAUCAUUCGAUCUGGAUAUAUGGUACAACUGCCAGCAGUGAAUAUAUCGAUACGAGAUAUUAACGAGACCAGUGCCGCACUGACAGGAAUUUGACAAUUUUAUUUUGUCAUAAUUCUGUUGCCAUACAACACUCGACCAUCAACAAACCAUUCCACCGCACAGUAUGGCCUCGGUCGCUGCUUGGUUGCCUUUCGCACGGGCAGCGGCCAUUGGAUGGGUACCAAUUGCCACACAUCCACUGCCAUCACCUCCAGUACCAAAGGAUCGACGAAAAACAGACGAUGAAAAAUUUGUGAUCAACGUAUCAGGUCGCCGAUUCGAAACGUGGCGUAAUACACUCGAAAAAUAUCCAGACACUUUGCUGGGCAGCAACGAACGGGAAUUCUUUUAUGACGAAGAUGUGAGAGAGUAUUUCUUUGACCGAGAUCCGGAUAUAUUUCGUCACAUUUUGAAUUAUUAUCGAACGGGUAAAUUGCAUUACCCGAAACAUGAAUGCUUAACGAGCUACGACGAAGAGCUAGCAUUUUUCGGCAUAUUGCCGGAUGUAAUUGGCGAUUGUUGCUACGAAGACUAUCGCGAUCGGAAACGGGAAAAUGCCGAACGAUUGAUGGAUGAUAAAUUGUCUGAGAAUGGUGAUCAAAAUUUGCAGCAGUUAACAAAUAUACGGCAGAAGAUGUGGCGAGCGUUUGAAAAUCCGCACACAUCAACGGCUGCUUUAGUGUUUUAUUAUGUAACCGGCUUCUUCAUUGCUGUAUCCGUUAUGGCCAACGUUGUCGAAACUGUACCGUGUGGCCAUCGGCCUGGACGUGCUGGAACGCUUCCAUGUGGCGAACGUUACAAAAUCGUAUUUUUCUGUUUGGACACCGCUUGCGUUAUGAUUUUCACAGCCGAAUAUUUACUGCGAUUAUUCGCCGCUCCCGACCGCUGCAAAUUCGUUCGAAGUGUGAUGAGCAUAAUCGAUGUAGUCGCUAUUUUACCAUACUACAUCGGACUGGGCAUUACCGAUAACGAUGAUGUGUCCGGUGCAUUCGUAACGUUACGUGUGUUCCGAGUGUUUCGUAUAUUCAAAUUUUCGCGCCAUUCGCAAGGAUUACGAAUUUUGGGCUAUACGCUGAAAUCUUGUGCUUCGGAAUUGGGUUUUUUGGUGUUUUCGUUGGCGAUGGCCAUCAUCAUUUUUGCGACAGUCAUGUUUUAUGCGGAGAAAAAUGUUGGUGGUACGAAUUUCACAUCGAUUCCUGCAGCAUUUUGGUACACCAUUGUCACAAUGACAACUUUGGGUUAUGGUGAUAUGGUACCGGAAACGAUAGCAGGAAAAAUUGUCGGUGGUGUGUGUUCACUGAGUGGUGUGCUGGUAAUCGCUCUGCCCGUACCAGUCAUAGUAUCUAAUUUUAGUCGAAUUUACCAUCAAAAUCAACGAGCUGAUAAACGAAAAGCACAAAGGAAAGCACGGUUAGCCCGCAUACGAAUUGCUAAGGCAUCAUCUGGUGCAGCGUUCGUCAAUAAGAAAAAGGCGGCCGAAGCCCGUCUAGCUGCUCAAGAAUCUGGUAUUGAACUAGAUGAUACAUAUCGCGAAGAAGAUAUUUUCGAGCUGCAACAUCAUCAUUUGCUGAGAUGUUUAGAGAAAACCACGGACCGUGAAUUCGUCGAACUGGAAAUACCAUACAAUGGUCAAACAAAGCGACCGGGUUCACCGUCUCCAAUGGCGAGUCCAGCUCAUUCAACAGCAAGUAACAUUGGUCUUUUGCAGUCGUGCUGUGGUAGAUGUUGUUCGCAGCGAUAUCAGUCAAAGAGCGUUUAGUAUGCAUGUGUUAUUAUGUGAUGUGACAUGUUCGUUCAACAAAAAAUAUUUAGUGUUUCAUUUGAUGGACCAUCCUAUCGUUGUGGUACUAAACGAAAUUCAAGUACCUCGCAGGAAGAUCGAAUAUCAUAUAAUUCGUAAAUCAUCAGAAAACGAUUAUGAUAAAAUAUGAAGAAUCGAGUUCCGAUUGCCGGGUUUUAAACGAACACAGAAUUAACUUGACAAAAUUGAAAUAUAUUUGAAGUUAACAAAACAUAAAUGAAAAAAAUGAUGGUAGGACCGUAGGACGAUAAACACUAACGUAAAUUAAUUGUUAAUUAAACUUAGAAACACUUAAAUGACGUAGAGAAAUUAUAUUUAUUAGCUGAACAAAAUGGAUACAAUUUCUUCAUAAUUAAAAGCAUUUUGGUUGGCUCCGUCGAAGACUCAGUCAACUGAACGAUUCUUAUGUGGAUUUUUUUUACCAAAUUCAUCGAAAUGUUUUGACGAAAACAACACAAAAUGAAAACCAAUUUCUAAAUGAACAAUUAGAUCAAGAGCGGAUAUUCCACAUUUUUUUCCCUUAUUGUUUCAAAUAACACGCAGACUGUCCAUAAUUUAACAGUAUUCUUUCCGAGAGAGUUGAUUCGUAAUAGCUAUUUUCAUAACGUGUGCCUGAAUGGAAGGUUUGAUGUGAAAAUUAUCAACCAGAGGCGAAGCCGAAGUCAACAUCCAGUUUACUCACAAGGUAGAAACAAGACUUUGUGGUGGGAUUUCCGCACCACUGGUACACAUAGAGAUUCUUUUCAAUAAUCCAAUGCUAGAGUUCGAGUAGAACUUUUCCACACUUUUCAUACACACUAGUGUGUUAAAGUACAAUUGCUUCGUGCGAAUUCCUAAUGCUCGGUGCGAAGUACUUGAUUAGGCUCACGAUGUGUAUUAUGACAAACGGCCUGUGGCAUCGUGUCAUAAUUAAACAUCUAGAGCCUAAUAAAGUACUUCGCACUCGAUGUCAUAAAUAACUAUUUCGCUGACCUUGUGUGAAUCUCACAUUAUAGUGUGCCGAAAACACUCAAAUUUCGUUUUAAAUGAAAGUGGUAUGCUACCUUGUGGUUCUUCACAUUAUGAAACGCUUUUGAUUCGGUUAUGUCCAACGUCGCUCGAUUUUCUCUGACCAACUCAUUUUAGGUUACGUUCACCAGUUUCCAUUAAAGUUCAGAAACACACAUCACAAACAUUGCAAGAAGCACUUGUGUUACUUUGUCAUUGUUACAUUGCUCGUAGUAAUUUUUAUCUCUAAAAGUCGGAGCGUAAAACACGUCUAUAAGAUGUGAGCUUUUCAACGAUCAGAUACAAAUCAGAAGGACAAAAAAUGUAUCUGUACCAGUGUCCAAAAGACAUAGUCACUCUAAGAUAGUGAAGACUUUGCAUAACAUUUCACAAAAUGGAAAAUCCUACAAAACCUGAAAGUCCCUCACAAGUUUUCGACAAAUUAUUAAAUUAUUAAAAUUCUUACGAUAAUGCGAGUAGUACGAGCGACUUGCCCCUACCUGUAAGUGGGUUUAUUUGUAAGUGGAAUAUUUCAAAUUGUUUUAAAGGAACCUGUCACUUUUGGCUAUUCAUCUGUUGUCGAUAACGACGACCAAAAUAAUGACAAGCUAUGGUUAAUAUGGUCCUUUAUAUGUUAAAACAACUCACUGCUCAGGAACAGUGCGUUGUUAAAAACAUUGAAGUACAAGAUUUGAAACCAACAGAUUAAAAAUACUUUCAUCGGUGGAAGUAAUAGACUCGGUAAUAAUACUGGUCGUGUGCUUGCCGUCUGUAACAGGUUAUUGAGGUAAAUAUGAAUAUGAAAAGCUCGGUAUUACUCUCACUGGAAUGCACACCGAAACGACAGAGUCCAUCCUACAAGGAAACUUAUCGAUUGGUUGUAGACUGCACUUUACUUUACUGAAAAUAUUCCCUAAAGGAAUUGUCCAAAGUAAGCACCCGUUUAACGUAAUCGCGAUCCUAAGACACAUCGUGACUUUGUCUUUACUUUUGUAUCGAUUAAUCUUGUUGAAUAAACAUUUCGAACUUCGUAAUACGAAGAGACUUCUGAUUGAAUCAAAUUUUUAUUUCAUCUUCUGUUUCCUAUUAAUAAUAAUUUUACCAAUUAUGUAAUGUAGGCUUUGCACAUUUUGAUCGAUUUAUAUUUUAAAUGGUAAAAGCGAUUAUAUCUACUUUAUAUAUCUAUAUAUCCAGGCGCAUGAUAAAAAAAUAUCAAAAACAAACCAACCAAUCAACAAAAAUAAAAAGUUUUUAAUUUUUCCACUUAAUUGAAAUCUAAUUAAAACAAAACGAUGUGGUGGACAUGUUUUUAAAUUUAGGCAUGCGGAAAGUAUAUGCCAGCAACAGCAACGGCUCAAAGUAAUCAAUCUGGUACUGGGAUGCAAGAUGGUACGUACUUGGUAGAAGCGUCAUUUUAGGAUUAAUAGAAAAAAAAAUGGUUUAGAAGACCUAAGAAGAACAUUUAUAAAGAUUUUAAAGCAGAAAUGAACCCUUGGUAAAUAUGUAGCCUAAAUUUGGGCGGAAAAAUAUUCGUUUUUUUGAUGAUUUCUCUAAACCAAAAUCUUUUUUUUUGUAAAAAGUAAAACCAUUGGAGCGCGCAAAAAUGUGUAACUUUUAGUAGGAAAAAUUGGUUUGAGGGUGAUAACUUAUCCCAUUUGGAGAAACCUUUGCAGCACGCCCGUAACCAGGUAGUGGCUAGAGUAAGCAGAGCCCCCUCUGAUGUAGCUAUUUUAAGCGAUUUUUUCAAUUUUGCCAUACAAAAAUAUUUUUUUGGGCGCUGAGCUCCCUCUAAAUUGUCUAGGGGCUUAGGGGCUGGCUACGGGCCUGCUUUGCAGAUUGUGUAAAUUUAUGUAAUCUGCACAGGUUUCUUCAAGUGGGAGAAGUUUUCACCCACAAAACAAUUUUUCCUACUAAAAGUAACACAUUUUUGCGCGCUUCAAUGGUUUUACUUUUUCAAAAAAAGAUUUUGGCUCAGAGAAAUCAUCAAAAAACGAAUAUUUUUCCUCCCAAAUAUAGGCUACAAGUUUGCAAAGGGUCCAUUGAAAUGAGAAAAAAAAACAACAACAAAUUUACAUGAAUGAACCAAACAAAAUGGUCGUUUGCGUCUGCAUUGACCUGUAUUUUAGUAAAAAUGAAUAUGAUACGUGUUACAAAUUGUUAAA